UCUAAUCGUGUGCCGGGCAGCCGGGUAGUGCGCGUGGGGGAGGGGUUGCUCGGAGUGACUGGGCUUAAAGGGGUCGUAUGUGGCCAUCUAAGUCAGACGUGAAAUGCGUCGGCUGAACCGUGGAACUGAGUCUGAUACUGUGCGGCUGGAGUUUGGGAGAGGGACGCGGAAUUCCAGGUGUAGCGGUGAAAUGCGUAGAUAUCUGGAGGAACACCGGUGGCGAAGGCGGCGUCCUGGACCAACACUGACACUGAUGAGCGAAAGCCAGGGGAGCAAACGGGAUUAGAUACCCGGGUAGUC
rnacentral:rRNA from 1 species